rnacentral:rRNA from 1 species
GACGUACGCUGGCGGCGUGCUUAACACAUGCAAGUCGAACGAGGCAGCAAUGCCUAGUGGCGGACGGGUGAGUAACACGUAGGUAACCUGCCUUGUAGUGGGGGAUACCCAUCCGAAAGGAUGGCUAAUACCGCAUACCCUUUGUCGUUGUGAUACGGCUCAGGAAAGAUUUAUCGCUAUAAGAGGGGCCUGCGUAUGAU